CCUGAAUUAUCAAGUUUCAGAUUACAAUUUUUCAGCCCGGAUUUGACCCAGGCCGGUACCCGUAUUCUAAUAACCGGUUUCAUAUGGUUCGGAUCCGAGUAUGAAACUUGAAUUCCGUAUUAACACUCGGUACUACCUCGGGUUAGUAUAAAUUGAAAAAGGCCAAAACAUAAGUCACAUAACCCUAAAACAACUCCCUAGCCACUUCGUCUCUCGCAUCUGACUCUCCCAUCCAUGGACCAUCUGUCUCUAUUUUAGCAUCCGUAUCUAUCCCUCUCCCUCUCUCGCUCCCACACAGGCAAAACCCUAACUGCCAUUGCCUUUCUUUCUUCUCUCCGUUCGGGUAUUGAUGGAAGUGCUUGAGCUUGGGAUCCGUUUAGGUGGAUAGCUAAUCAAAAUGAGACUAUUUUCAUGAUAAUAGCAAAUCAAAGUCCUUCUACAAUGAUGUAAUAAAUUAGUUCAUGUUUGUUGUUGUGUAUUGGAGAGUUUAAUUAAAGCAAUGUAUGUAUUUUGUAUUGUUCUUAGCAAAUUAGUUCAAACAAUGUAAUAGAACUUUGAGGCAAAUUAAAGCAAUGUAUGUGUUUUUUA